rnacentral:rRNA from 1 species
GACGAACGCUGGCGGCGUGCUUAACACAUGCAAGUCGAACGGAAAGGCCCUGCUUUUGUGGGGUGCUCGAGUGGCGAACGGGUGCGUAACACGUGAGUAACCUGCCCUUGACUUUGGGAUAACUUCAGGAAACUGGGGCUAAUACCGGAUAGGAGCUCCUGCUGCAUGGUGGGGGUUGGAAAGUUUCGGCGGUUGGGGAUGGACUCGCGGCUUAUCAGCUUGUUGGUGGGGUAGUGGCUUACCAAGGCUUUGACGGGUAGCCGGCCUGAGAGGGUGACCGGCCACAGUGUGACUGAGAUACGGCCCAGACUCCUACGGGAGGCAGAAGUGGAGAAUAUUGCACAGUGGGCGGAAGCCGGAUGCAGCAACGCCGCGUGCGGGAUGACGGCCUUCGGGUUGUAUUCUGCUUUCGCCUGUGACGAAGCGUGAGUGACGGUAAUGGGUAAAGAAGCACCGGCUAACUACGUG